CAGAAUUCCUGUGACCUCAUGGUACAACAGGGUGACGUCCACCGAGAUGUGAGCAGAAGGAGUAGAACUCUUCAAAGAAAAUCCACCCUGUUGAGUUUGAAUAGAAUUACAUUGCGUUUCAACUGAUUUAAUGAAAUGACAUGCAUUACACGGAAGGUAUCUGACACCACCCGUAACUACUCAAGUGCCAGCUGUCUUCCACAGUGCUUUAAUUUCUAGGAAGCAUAUUUCCUCGUCUUCCUCAUACCUAGUUAAGAUCACUGUGACAGGAGCCGCCCACCGGGUCCAAAUCUACCCUCUUCUAAGUCAGCUCAUCCGUUUCCAGGUAUCUAUUGAUUCCAUAUCUGCUGCUUAACAUCUCUAACACCCUCCACCAUAGAAACGUAAUAGGCAAUAAGCUCCGUCACCACCAUUCAUCCCCGGGACCCGACAGCCUACGUGUCGCCACAUUAGCCCUCUGCGGUAUAGAUAUGAGAACUUCCCGAUGUGAGACACUGACUGUAAUAAAGCCCAAAUUGGACUUUGGAAAAUAGAAUUGGCUCCUCAGCUGCUUGUCAUACCCAGGG
ensembl:lncRNA